UACGAAAGGGGCUAGCGUUGCUCGGAAUCACUGGGCGUAAAGGGCGCGUAGGCGGCCGAUUAAGUCGGGGGUGAAAGCCUGUGGCUCAACCACAGAAUUGCCUUCGAUACUGGUUGGCUUGAGACCGGAAGAGGACAGCGGAACUGCGAGUGUAGAGGUGAAAUUCGUAGAUAUUCGCAAGAACACCAGUGGCGAAGGCGGCUACCUGGCCCAAUACUGACACUCAGGUGCGACAGCGUGGGGAGCAACAGG
rnacentral:rRNA from 1 species